GGUAGGUCACUUACCAGCCACUUGCUGCUAUAUAUAUAUAAGCCAUAUCCAAAUAUUACAAAGAAAUGUUUUAAGAAAAAAUUAUGUUUCAUCAGACAUGUACUGAAAGGAACGUUAAAGUGGUUUGGUAAGGGAAAAGUUAUUUGUAUAAAUAUAAUAUGCUAUGCAUCAAAAUUCUAUUAAUAGAGUAUAAAAGCCACAGGGCAAAAAAGAAAGAUUCAUGUCAAUGGAUACUAAAAAAGAGCAAGCAAUAAAACAUACUAAAUUUAUUGGUAAAUGAAGUCUCACACCACACAUGUAGUACUGUAUCUUUGUGAAUACGGUAACCAAAAAGCGAGCCAUGAAAUAAAGUUGCGUUAAUUUGAAUUAAUUCCUAUGUGGGAAUUAAUUAGAUCACACAAAGUACAGUAUCUACAGUACCUCACAGAAACGAAUGUAUGGCACAGAGCAAAAUGUAAAGAAAUCCCCAAAUUAUGCCUAUGCAGGCAAUACAAAGCAAAUAUUUCAUUGAACAUUAGUCUGCUAAUGGCUCAGGUCCUUCAGGAAUGAAGGUUUGCAUCACCACGCCAGGUAAAGAGCUGUGACCAGCUGGAUGCCUGCUGGAGGCAGAAGGAAUACACAACGGGUAGUGGAAGAAGGAAGUUACGAACACCAGCUAUGACCACAGGACGAGUUACAGAAGCGAGGACUGUAACGUCAUGAGUAUUUCCUCCCUAUUUUGUUAUAAAUAUGUGGGCCUGCGCCUUGGACUAGAACUAAACCACUGCCUCUCCCGUCUCCAGCAGCUCUUGGGACUUUUCACCCUCCAGAACUGCACAGCCAAUUCCGGGAGAUGCAAUCACCAACCACACUGAACCAGAGCAAGCCUCACCAGAGAGCUCCGCCUAUGACCUCUGCCUCACUUUUAUUGCUAAGAUCUCUCCAGGAGGAGCUUAAGCCUUAUUCCCAUAACCUGCAGUGUAAGUGGAAGCACGUUUUCCAACCGAGCCUGUGCAUGUAAAUGCCCACUUCUCCUUUUUGAAUAUUCAUUUCUCAUCUGAAAUAAAAGGUCCCUGCUUCCCUUUGUUCAGGGACUCCUCGACUCUGGAAGUGAUUCCGCAUGGUCUCCUAUUUUCUGCAAAUACACCUUACUUUGUGACACAACUACUUCUGGUGGAGAGUCUGAUUUGACUCGCCCAGAGGCAAACCCACUUCGGUUUCCGUAACAGACUCAAAGAGGUAAAAGGAGCAUCCUUUAAAUACACUGAAUGGGGGACAGCCCAGUGGCUGUUAAGUUCCCAGGUUCUGCUUAGGUGGCCCCAGUUUCCCCAGUUCUGAUCCCCGGCGA